rnacentral:rRNA from 1 species
GAACUUAAGCAUAUCAAUAAGCGGAGGAAAAGAAACCAACAGGGAUUGCCCUAGUAACGGCGAGUGAAGCGGCAACAGCUCAAAUUUGAAAUCUGGCUACUUUGUAGUCCGAGUUGUAAUUUGUAGAGGAUGCUUUUGGUGAGGUGCUUUCUGAGUUCCCUGGAACGGGACGCCAGAGAGGGUGAGAGCCCCGUACAGUUAGCAACCGAUCCUUUGUAUAGCUCCUUCGACGAGUCGAGUAGUUUGGGAAUGCUGCUCUAAAUGGGAGGUAUAUCUCUUCUAAAGCUAAAUAUAGGCUAGAGACCGAUAGCGCACAAGUAGAGUGAUCGAAAGAUGAAAAGCACUUUGAAAAGAGAGUUAAACAGCACGUGAAAUUGUUGAAAGGGAAGCGCCUAUGACCAGACUUGUUUCUAUCAGUUUUGGUAGUUUUCGGACUGCUUUACUCUGUUAGUACAGGCCAACAUCAGUUUGUUGUCGGGGAGAAAGGCUUAGGGAAUGUGGCUCCCUCGGGAGUGUUAUAGAUCUUUGCAUAAUACCCUUCGGCAGACUGAGGACCGCGCUUC